GCUCUACAUAAAGAUGCUGCAAUCCAUCCUGGAGAACAGUAAAUUACAGAUUAUCGCCUCUACCUCUCAGUGUAGUUUACGGUUAGAUUGGGCAUCUUUCUGCUCAUUUUUCUUCUGAGGAUCCUUGAUGUGAG
rnacentral:lncRNA from 12 species